GCCUGUUCUCAGGGCGGGGUGAAACUCCCCACCGGCGGUAUCCGGAGCGAUCCGGGAGCCCGCGAGCGCUUCCGUUGACGCGGAAGGUCAGCAGAUCCGGUGCGAUGCCGGAGCCGACGGUCACAGUCCGGAUGGAAGAGGACAUGU
rfam:Shinella sp. DD12 SHLA_9c, whole genome shotgun sequence.